GAUGAACGCUAGCUACAGGCUUAACACAUGCAAGUCGAGGGACCGGCGCACGGGUGAGAAACACGUAUCCAACCAGCUCUUUACUAGGUGUUAGCCUUUCGAAAGAAAGAUUAAUACCCGAUGUAAAGGUUGGGGGUGCGUUCCAUUAGGUUGUUGGUGAGGUAACGGCUCGCCAUGCUUUCGAUGGAUAGGGGUGCUGAGAGGAAGGUCCCCCACAUUGGAACUGAGACACGGUCCAAACUCGUACGGGAGGCAGCAGUGAGGAAUAUUAGUCAAUGGGCGUUAGCCUGAACCAGCCAAGUAGCGUGAAUGAUGAAGGCUUAUGGGUCGUAAACUUCUUUUAUAUAAGAAUAUGUAUUAUAUGAAUAAGGAUCGGCUAACUCCGUGCCAGCAGCCGCGGUAAUUC
rnacentral:rRNA from 1 species